UACGGGGGGGGCAAGCGUUGUUCGGAAUUACUGGGCGUAAAGGGCGCGUAGGCGGCCUUCUAAGUCGAACGUGAAAUCCCCGGGCUCAACCCGGGAACUGCGUCCGAUACUGGAAGGCUUGAAUCCGGGAGAGGGAUGCGGAAUUCCCGGUGUAGGGGUGAAAUCCGUAGAUAUCGGGAGGAAUACCAGCGGCGAAGGCGGCCUUCUGGACGGUGACUGACGCUGAGACGCGAAAGCGUGGGGAGCAAACAGG
rnacentral:rRNA from 1 species